CUCUACACAGUUGUGUUCUGUGGGUGUUACUGAGUAGACUGAUACCCCAUUUCAAUGCUCCACAUUCCAACACUAACCUUGUUUAACAUUAUCUAGUCUAAAUAUGGCAUGAGUCCACCAAUUGUAACCUUCUGUAUCAAUUUCAAAGAGUGACUUAUUUUGAAGGCAACACGCAAAUUCCGCUAUUGUGGCUAGUUUCACAGCACAUAACCUGUUCCGGUCAAGCCAUACUAGCCAGAUGAAGCUAGCGGGCUGCUUAUAAGAUCAGCAUGGUGUUGGUGAACUGUUAAACAAGGGUUAGUGUUUGAAGUCUUCAACUUCAUUCCCAGACUCAUGUUUUGAGGAUUCUUCUGGGCUACCUGGCUCAGACAGGGAGAGUCCACUACUUAUACAGAGCUGCUGCAGUUCAUGCUGGGAGGGAUGCAGAGCCACGUGGACAGCAGCAUAGUGUGUGAGGCAUGGUGGUGGGGGAGUGUCUCCGCUCCUGCAUGGACAUCAACAGAGUCAAAUUCAAGGAUGAGGAGACCAAGGAGCUGCUCUCACUGAUGAAUCCACUGUCUAAUGAAGAAACAGAUUUGACCUUGAGGAAGAUCCAAGGGCAGACUGUACCCUCUAAGGCAAUACCAACCCAGGUUGCUUCUGUGGCCCAGAAAUCAGGAGCGGACCCAGACUCAAGCGUAGGGCAUUAUCAUAAUCAAACCUAUAACACAAUACCGCUUCUUAUACACUACAUUUAUUAACAAUGUUGCCUGUGAAUCUGAAGUUCUUUUUCAUUGAAAUCAUUACAGCUUAAUGAAUCUUCCCACGGGAACUUAAGCAUGGUGUAGGACUCGCCAGCUUGUAGUCCUAAAAAACAGAAAUGAGUUACCUCUGGUUUGUUCAGCCAUUCCUGUGGGGAAAGAAUAGGGUUUUGGGUUAAAUGCCAAAAAUAAGGUCUGAGGUCAACACAGGUGGAGGUCUUAUACGUUUUGUUCUAUGAGAUAAUCAGUCAGUUAACAUCACCUUUAUAAAUUGAAGCCUUUGUGUCUAUAAUGAUUACAUAAAUGCUUCAAUAUUCACAGUGACGUUGGCUGAAAGAUUCUCAUAACAAAACAUAAGAUCUCCUAAGCCUGUGUUUACCACCAACCUUCUGCUCUGCAUUUAUACAAAAAUGCCAUUAAUUUCCCCAUAGAGUGGAGAUAGAAAUUGUCUCUUUGUAGGCUCUAUCUCUAUAGUAGUGUUGUAUUAAUUAGGCUCUCUGUCUCUGUCCUGUGUGUAUGAACCAGUGAUGAUUCGAUCACUCCCUAUGAUAUAUCCCUACGGGCAGGGCCGUUAUUGGCAGGCCUUAGGGGGCGUGGCCCGCCCUACUGUACCUCCUUGCCCAUCCAAAUAAAAUACUGAUCAUUUACAGUGCCUUCGGAAAGUAUUCAGACCCCUUGAAUUUUCCCACGUUUUGUUAUAGCCUUAUUAAAAAAAAAUUAUUAAAUUGUUAAUCCCUCCCACCCCCCUCAAUCUAAACACAAUACCCCAUAAUGGCAAAGAGAAGAAAAAAACAGGGUUCGAAUUUUUUGCUAAUUUAUUAAAAAGAAACUGAUAUCACAUUUACAUGAUCAUCCAAGAUGGCAUAGUCAGACGUCCUUGUCUUGCCGUGUCUCGUGUGUGUAUAUAUAAAUAAGAUAUGCGAAGAAAAAUAUUGACAUUUUUCUUCGCAUAUCUUUUUAUUUUUCUAAACACUCGACUUAAAAACACUCUCCUGCAACCUGCCUCACCAAUUGUUUAACUUUUAUGGGCUAGGUGGGACGUUUGCGUCCCACCUAGUCAACAGCCAGUGGAAUUGCGUGGCGCGAAAUACAUGCCUCAAUGCUAUAACUUAAAUUUUUCAAACAUAUGACUAUUUUACACCAUUUUAAAGACAAGACUCUUGUUAAUCUAACCACAUUGUCCGAUUUCAAAAAGGCUUUACAGCGAAAGCAAAACAUUAGAUUGUCAGGAGAGUACCCUGCCAAAAAAUAAUCACACAGCCAUUUUCAAAGCAAGCAUAUAUGUCACCAAAACCACAGCUAAAUGCAGCACUAACCUUUGAUCUUCAUCAGAUGACACUCCUAGGACAUUAUGUUAUACAAUACAUGCAUGUUUUGUUUAAUCAAGUACAUAUUUAUAUCAAAAAACAGCUUUUUACAUUAGUAUGUGAUGUUCAGAACUAGCAUACCCAUCGCAAACUUCCGGUGAAUUUACUAAAUUACUCAUGAUAAACGUUGAAAAAAAUACAUAACAAUUAUUUUAAGAAUUAUAGAUACAGAACUCCUUUAUGCAAACGCUAUGUCAGAUUUUAAAAUAGCUUUUCGGCGAAAGCACAUUUUGCAAUAUUCUGAGUACAUAGCUCAGCCAUCACAGGCUAGCUAAUUUGACACCCACCAAGUUUGGGGCUCACUAAACUCAGAAUUACUAUUAGAAAAAUUGGAUUACCUUUGCUGUUCUUCGUCAGAAUGCACUCCCAGGACUUCUACUUCAACAACAAAUAACAACAAAUAAUCCAUAGUUAUAUCCAAAUACCUCCGUUUUGUUCGUUCAGGUCACUAUCCGAAGGGUAACGCGCGAGCGGAUUUCAUGACAAUUUCAAAAUAUUCCAUUACCGUACUUAGAAGCAUGUCAAACGCUGCUUAAAAUCUAUUUUUAUGCUAUUUUUCUCAUAAAAUAGCGAUAAUAUUCCAACCGGGCAACGUUGUAUUCAUUCAAAGGCUGAAAGAAAAAAAGAGAAGUCUCGUGAACGCUCAUCUCAGUCUCACUGUCCCCAGGCUGACCACACAAACAGAGCUGCUGUACUUUGCCCAGAGACAGCAGACACCCCAUUCUACUUUCUGGCGGCUUUAGAGAGCCAAUGGAAGCCUUAGAAAGUGUCACGUUACAGCACAGAUGCUGUAUUUUCGAUAGAUGCAACAGAAGGACAACAAAUUGUCAGACAGGGCACUUCCUGUAUGGAAUCUUCUCAGGUUUUGGCCUGCCAUAUGAGUUCUGUUAUACUCAGACGCCAUUCAAACAGUUUUAGAAACUUUAGGGUGUUUUCUAUCCAAAUCUACUAAUUAUAUGCAUAUUUUCGUUUCUGGGCAAGAGUAGUAACCAGAUUAAAUUGGGUAUGUUUUUUAUCCGGCCGUGAAAAUACUGCCCCCUAGUCCCAACAGGUAAAAAAAAAAGUAUUAUUCACCUCAAAUCUGAAAUCCACAACAGAAGCUAGCCAGAAGUUAGCCAGGUGUCUGGUUAGACUAAACUCUCCUUCCAGACUCACAGCAACCAUCUCCAAUCCAAAGUUAAAUCGGCUUCCUAUUUCGCAACAAAGCAUCCUUCACUCAUGCUGCCAAACAUACCCUCGUAAAACUGACCAUCCUACCGAACUUUGGCAAUGUCAUUUACAAAAUAGCCUCCAAUACCCUACUUAUUAAAUUGGAUGCAGUCUAUCACAGUGCCAUCCGUUUUGUCACCAAAGCCCCAUAUACUACCCACCACUGCGACCUGUACACUCUUGUUAGGUGGCCCUUGCUUCAUACUCAUUGCCAAACCCACUGGCUCCAGGUCAUCUACAAGACCCUGCUAGGUAAAGUCCCCCCUUAUCUCAGCUCGCUGGUCACCAUAGCAGCACCCACUCGUAGCACGCGCUCCAGCAGGUAUAUCUCACUGGUCACCCCCAAUGCCAAUUCCUCCUUCGGCCGCCUCUCCUUCCAGUUCUCUGCUGCCAAUGACUGGAACAAACUACAAAACCUCUGAAACUGGAAACACUCAUCUCCCUCACUAGCUUUAAGCACUAGCUGUCAGAGCAGCUCACAGAUUACUGCACAUAGCCCAUCUAUAAUUUAGCCCAAACAACUACCUCUUCCCCUACUGUAUUUAUUUAUUUUGCUCCUUUGCACCCCAUUAUUUCUACUUUCUUCCACUACAAAUCUACCAUUCCAGUGUUUUAAUUGCUAUAUUGUAUGUACUUUGCCACCAUGGCCUUUUUUUGCCUUUACCUCCCUUAUCUCACCUCAUAUGCUCACAUUGUAUAUAGACUUAUUUUUCUACUGUAUUAUUGACUGUUUGUUUUACUCCAUGUGUUACUCUGUUGUAUGUGUCAAACUGCUUUGCCCUAUCUUGGCCAGGUCGCAGUUGUAAAUGAGAACUUGUUCUCAACUUGCCUACCUGGUUAAAUAAAGGUGAAAUAAAAAAAACAAUUAUUCCGACCUUUUACUCAGUACUUUGUUUGAAGCGCUUUUGGCAGAGACUAUAGCAUUGAGUCUUCUUGGGAAUGCUUUGUCAGGUUGGAUGGGGAGCAUUGCUGCACAUCUAUUUACAGUUCUCUCCAGAGAUGGGUUCCAUUCUGGGCUCUGGCUGGGCCACUCAAGGACAUUGAGACUUGUCUCGAAGCCACUCCUGCGUUGUCUUGGCUGUGCGCUUAGUGUCAUUGUUCUGUUUGAAGGUGAACCUUCGCCCCAGUCUGAGGUCCUGAGCAGGCUCUGUACUUCGCUCAGUUCAUCUUUGCCUCCAUCCACACUAGUCUCCCAGUCCUUGCCACUGAAAAACAUCCCCACAGCAUGAUGCUGCCACCACGCUUCACCGUAGGGAUGGUGCCAGGUUUCCUCCAGACGUGAUGCUUGACAUUCAGGCCAAAAAGUUUGGUUUCAGACUAGAGAAUCUUGUUUCUCAUGGUCAGAGUCUUUAGGUGCCUUUCUGCAAACUCCAAGCGGGCUGUCAUUUGCCUUUUACUGAGUGGGUGCCGUCUGGCCACUCUACCAUAAAGGCCUGAUUGGUGGAGUGCUGCAGAGAUGGUUGUCCUUCUGGAAGGUUCUCCCAUCUCCACAGAGGAACUCUAGAGCUCUGUCAGUGACCAUCCGGGUCUUGGUGGUUCCAGCUGUGUACCUUUCCAAAUCAUGUCCAAUUAAUUGAAUUUAACACAGGUGGACUCCAAUCAAGUUGUAGAAACAUCUCAAGGAGGAUCAUUGGAAACAGGAUGCACCGGAGCUCAAUUGAGUCUCAUAGCAAAGGGUCUGAAUACUUAUGUAAAUAAAGUAUAUAUAUUUUUUUAUAUAGAAUUUGCAAAAAUGUCUAAACCUGUUUUCGCUUUGUCAUUAUAUGGUAUUGUGUGUAGCUUGAAGACUUAUUUAAUACAUUUUAGAAGAAUAAGGCUAACGUGGAAAAAGUCAAGGGGACUGAAUCAUUUCUGAAUGCACUGUAUGUACCCAGGAAACAGCCACCUUACCUUAUGUCCAGGGCCAGCUCCUUGUUGACCUCUUGGUAAGCCAGUCCAAGCGGAUUAUUAUUUGUUCAGAUGGUGACGAAACAUAAAUAUGUAGAAAAGGAAAAAUACAAAAGGGCAUGCCCAAACUAAAGACUCAACCAAAAAAAAAAAAAGGCCCAAACAAAACCAACAGCUAUUCCAGCUGGGACACUGACUGAUGAUCACCCUAAUUGGCUACAGCUGAUGCGCUUAUAAAGGCUCAACUCAGCACCUAAAUCCGGUUGCUGCCAUCUGGGGAUAGAGUGUGGCUGUGUAUCCUGGAUAGUGUCUUAACACAAACAUCAAAAACUCAUAUUCACCACUAUCUAUUUUCUUGAAUUUUCAUAGUUUUUAUAUUUUUUCCCCCCUUAUUUCUUUUCCAUAAAACAUCCUUAACUGAAGAGACAAAAUAUGGACACUAUAAGCACCAGUGAUGUUACUUUUGAUACUGGAGCUCCAAGGCAUGCAUCAAAACAUUGAUGUAGUGUGGCGAUGCGUGUAUCACUUUAUCAGAAGUAUGUCUUUAUUUUAUAUAUUUUUUAAAUGUAACCUUUAACUAGGCAAGUCAAUUAAGAACAUAUUCUUAUUUACAAUGACAGCCUACACCGGCCGACGCUGGGCCAAUUGCGAGCCGCCCUAUGGGACUCCCAAUCACGGCCAGGUGUGAUACAGCCUGGAUUCGAACCAGGGUGUCUGUAGUGACGCCUCUAGCACUGCGAUACAGUGCCUAAGACCACUGCGCCACUCGGGAGCCCCCAAUGACGUCUGAAGCUUUGUUUGAUCACAUGCUUUUUCAAACCGUGCGAGAUCCCACUGGUUCUGGUGCUUUCUUCAAUUCCAAGCUGCUUUCAAACACCGACCUCUACUGGACACCGUACUUACAAAUAUGUGACUCACCACCUGGAUUCGGUCUUACGUAGCGAAAUUAGAAUUUCUGUUUUUUACAUUGGACAAAAGUAGAGACUCAGAGCUACAAAAGGGUAUAUCAUACACUGCAUUUAAGGAACAAUGGGAAAGUUAUUAAACUUGUAAAAUCACUUUUGGGAAAAUGGCAAUUUAGUGUUUCGGUGAGAGAGCACUUCUUUGUCCUACACCCGUUCAACAUCGUUCACACCCUCUUAAGCUUUAGCCCCACCCAUCUCAUUGCAUUCAGAGCACACACCUCUGGAUAACAUGAAAACAGCUCUGCUGGCAAUAAUUUCAUUAUGCUUUUUUGCAGACUUUUACUGACACCGGCCAUAUUCAACGGGUGUUGUACACUUUAGCUUUAGACAUGUUGCUAGCUACCUAGAUAAACAAUUAACCUAGCUAGGUAAACAACAUGUAAGAUCACACACAUCACGUCACGCCACCUAACGUUAGCUAGGGAGCCAGCCAGCUAACGCUAGCUAACAGUACACUUUAGCUUGAAAUGAAACCACUUUCCACUUUCUAAAUAAUGCCAUAUAUUCCGGGUUUUUUUAAACAGUCAACUUCAAGGCAAAAAAGGGAACAAUGAUGUAAGAUGCAAACCUGGUAUUCCAACUGAUCAUAGGCUACUAAAGCCAACGACUGACCGCUGCACCAUGGAGUUUUGCUGAAAAAGUGGAGAAAAAAACUUCUAUCUGAUCAAUUAUUGCUUACCAGCAGAUAAUGACGCUCUGAGUAAUGAACCGUUUUUUGGCAGAAUUUGGUGACAGCACUAAAGCCCUCAAAGCCUCAGUUUCCAAUCACUAAUAAACACUAGAGCUGCAGUUACACAACCUGACUACAGAAACCCUCAACUCUGAGAUAAAGCCAUUCUGAAAAACCAAAACCAUCAAAUUCUGCACUCAGGUAAUUUCUUCCUGCCAAAAGUCUCUGACUUGAACAAACCAAGGGACAACUUGUAACCCCUCUGAUUCUAAACAAAGAGACUUGACUUCCUUCACUAGGCCCAUGGUCACUAGCAACAAGCUCCAUCUGAUAUGUAAGCAACGAUGUGAGACUUGGAGCAACCACCACCAGGGACAAGUGAAUGUCAACCACAACUUCAGCACACUCACUUGGAACACAAUCCAUGUUCCACUAACACUUCUUUGUUCCAGCCCUAAGCACUCACUGGAGGGGCACAGUUAGCCAUAGCUGCUUCACUUUAACUUUCAGAGAACCUAAUGAGACCCAUCUCACUUCCCCUGAGUCUCAGUGUUAAUCACACCAGCAUUUCCUAUCAGGGAAAACACUAACCAUGCUCUCCUUAACUCUUAACAGGAGUCACUUCCUCACAUGUCAAACAAAUUCCAUGGAGGGCCGAGUGUCUGCUGGUUUUCGCUCCUCCCUUGUACUUGAUUGAUUAAUUAGUAACAAACUCCCCUCUGGUUGUCUAGGUCUUAAUUGAAAGGAAAAAAUUAAAUACAGCAGAAACUAGGCCCUCCAUGGAAUGAGUUUGACACCCCUGCACUCCAUACUGUAGGAACUGUCGACCACCUCACAACAACCAGAAGUGAAAACACACAUCGAUCUGGCUUCUCCACCAAACUCACUUCUUCAAGCUCCUUAUUCUCAUCAAAAGACACCGCAGUGUCACCCCGCAAACCCAGACCGGGUCUUCCAGAGGAUCCUUACUAACGUCACAACAUGACAACAUCAUUUCACAAUUUCACAAUUUGAUUUGAUUUGACAGGGAAGUGUUUCCAGUUUACACAAAGUCCAGUGUAGUUCCUUGAGGACCGUCAUGGUAUCGGCUUGAGGGGGAAUAUAAACGGCUGUUACUAUAACCGAAGAGAAUUCUCUUGGGAGGUAAUACGGUCAACAUUUGAUUGUGAUAUUCUAGGUUGGAUGAACAAAAGUACUUGAGUUCCUGUAUGUUAUCACAAUCACACCAUGAGAAGUUAAUCAUGAAACAUAGACCACAGCCUUUCUUCUUACCGGAGAGUUCUUUAUUCCUGUCUGCGCAAUGUACUGAGAACCCAGCUGGCUGUAUGGACGGGGACAGUAUAUCCGGAGAGAGCCAUGAUUCCGUGAUACAGAGUAUGUUACAGUCCCUAAUGUCUCUCUGGAAGGAGAUCCUCAUCUACUUUAUUUUCCAAGGACUGAACAUAAGCGAGUAAAAUACUCGGAAGCGGUGGAUGGUAUGCAUGCCUCCUGAGUCGGACUAGAAGUCCACUCCGAAUACCUCUUCUCCGCCGGCGGCAUCUUGGAGUAGCCUCUGGGAUAAGUUCAAUUGCCCUGGGGGGUACGAACAAAGGAUCCAAUUCGGGAAAGUCGUAUUUCUGGUCAUAAUGCUGGUGAGUUACCGCCGCUCUAAUAUCCAAAAGUUAUUUCCAGCUGUAUGUAAUAAAACAAAAAAUUUUCUCGGCAAAUAAUGUAAGAAAUAACACACAAAAAAAUGAAAUACUGCAAAGUUGCUUAGGAGCUAGAAGCAGAGCUGUCGGUGCCAACUUAAGUGUGUGAUUACUUUUAGUAGUUGAUAAUCAGUUGGAAUACCAGGUUCGCAUCUUACAUCAUGCUUCCCUUUUUUUGAUAAAGGUUUAAAAGGUGAAAUAUGAAGAUCUCGUACAAUGCUGUGUACUACUCCCUUCACAGAACAGUGCAAACUGGAUCUAACCAGAAUAGAAAGAAGAGUGGGAGGCCCCGGUGCACAACUGAGCAAGAGGACAAGCACAUUAGACAAGUACAUUAGAGUGUCUAGUUUGAGAAACAGACGCCUCACAAGUCCUCAACUGGCAGCUUCAUUAAAUAGUAGCCGCAAAACAACAGUCUCAACGUCAACAGAGUUCCUCUAUCCAGUGUCUUUUUCCCAUCUUAAUCUUUUAUUUUUAUAGGCCAGUCUGAGAUAUGUCUUUUUCUUUGCAACUCUGCCAAUUUCUCAAUAGUAGUACACGGUGCUGUACGAGAUCUUCAGUUUCUUGGCAAUUUCUCGCAUGGAAUAGCCUUCAUUUCUCAGAACAGGAAUAGACUGAUGAGUUUCAGAAGUCUUUGUUUCUGGCCAUUUUGAGCCUGUAAUCGAACCCGCAAAUGCUGAUGCUCAGAUACUCAACUAGUCUAAAGAAGGCCUGUUUUAUUGCUUCUUUAACCUCUCUGGCGCAGACGUUCCGCUAGCAACCCACCUCGACAACAUCCGGUGAAAUUGCAGAGCGUCAAAUUCAAAAUACAGAAAUACUCAUAAUAAACAUUCAUAAAAGAUACAAGUGUUAUACAUCGGCUUAAAGAUUAACUUCUCGUUAAUCCAGCCGCUGCGUCAGAUUUCAAAAAGGCUUUACGGCGAAAGCAUACCAUGCGAUUAUCUGAGGACAGCGCCCUGCUUACAAGUAGAGGAGUCACGAAAGUCAGAAAUAGCAAUAAAAUUAAUAAUUUACCUUUGAUGAUCUUCAUAUGGUUGCAGUCACAAGAGUCCCUGUUACACAAUAAAUGUUUGUUUUGUUUGAUAAAGUCCCUCUUUAUUUCCCAAUAACUCAGUUUUGUUGGUGCGUUAUGUUUAGUAAUCCACUGGCUCAAUGGCGGUCACAACAUGCAGACGAAUACAUCCUAACAGUACCGGUUUGUCGAAACAUGUCAAACGAUGUUUAUAAUUAAUCCCAAGGUUGUCUAUUGUCUAAAUAAUCAAUAAUAUUUCAACCAGACAAUAGCGUAUUCAAUAGAAAGGAAAAAGAACGAAGGGCGCAAACCAGCUCUGCUUCAUUCUACAGUCCACUUAGAAAAUGGUCUCAUUCUUCCUAAUUUUUCAGAAAACAAGCCUGAAACAAUGUCUAAAGACUGUUGACAUCUAGUGAAAGCCAUAGGAACUGUAAUCUGGGUCCUAACCCAAUACAUACUGUAUAGGUAUUCAAUUAAAAACUACACACAUCAAAAAUAUCCCACUUCCUGGAUGUAUUUUCCUCAGGUUUUCGCCUGCCAUAUCAGUUCUGUUAUACUCACAGACAUUAUUUUAACAGUUUUGGAAACUUUAGAGUGUUUUCGAUCCAACUCUACCAAUUAUAUGCAUGUCCUAGCUUCUGGGCAUGAGUAACAGGCAGUUUACUUUGGGCACGUUUUUCAUCCGGACGUCAAAAUACUGCCCCCUGCCCCAGAGAGGUUAAUCAGGUUAAACAGUUUUCAGCUGUGCUAACAUAAUUGCAAAAGGGUUUUCUAAUGAUCAAUUAGCCUUUUAAAAUGAUAAACUUGGAUUAGCUAACACAACGUACCAUUGGAACACAGGAGUGAUGGUUGCUGAUAAUGGGCCUCUGUACGCCUAUGUAAAUAUUCCAGCUACAAUAGUAAUUUACAACAUUAACAAUGUCUACCCUUUAUUUCUGAUCAAUUUCAUGUUAUUUUUUAAAAGGACAAAAAAAAUUGCUUUUCUUUAAAAAAACAAGGACAUCUCUAAGUGAUCCCAAACUUUUGAACGGUAGUGUAUUUCACAUCGGUUUAGAUGGUACAAUGAUUCUCCACACAUUGCUUGUUUUGUAACAAACUGAAAUUUGGCAAACUAUUCACAUUUUUGCAUCCAGGAAAUGGCGGAGCGAUUUAUACAUAUGGCACCUUUUAAACCUUUAUCAAAAAGAGAUGAGGAAAGGAUGGAGGAGAGGAGGUGAGUGAAACCAAGUGAAAUUCAUCCACAGAGUUGUCAAAGGCAAAGUGACAGUCUACCACAAAUCUAGGAAGAUGAAUGGUGUGUGCAGCACUAACCAGGUUUCCAUCCAACCUUUUUAUGCAAGUAAAGUACAUGUCGGGUAACAAAUGUCAUGACAGGCCUGAUGGAAACAGAAUUUUUUCCUGGUAAACAUUACAAAAUGCCGACAAAACAAAAUACGCUAGACAAGGUGGGAUCUUUUUGUGUCUGUAAAGUUAAUUAUGCAAAAAAUGUGGUAUAAUAACUAUCAUAUCGAAGUAAACUUGGAGUCACAUGAUGACAUGUUGUGUGGUCCUCCCACUACGACUCUAAGGGAGAACAUGCAGUUUAUUAGGUUACAUAUGAAAUAAAUUAACUUCACAGGGUGGUGAAAGUGCAAGGUGAUGAGCAUGAUGCCCCUUUCCAAUAAAUAUUGACAUGACAAUCGAUGCUUG
rnacentral:lncRNA from 1 species